GCUCAAACACAGCAAACACAGCCGUCAGAAACACAGCACAACACAGCCAUCAGAAACACAGCACAAACACUGCAAACACAGCCACCAGAAACACAGCACAACACAGCCAUCAGAAACACAGCACAAACACACACAACACAGCCAUCAGAAACACAGCUCAAGCACAGCCGUCAGAAACACAGCACAAUACAGCCGUGAGAAAUACACCAAAUACAGCAAACACAGCCAUCAGAAACACAGCAAACACACCACAAACA